rnacentral:tRNA from 1 species
AGUCACGUGGUCUAAUGGUUAUGAUUUCUCGUUCACAUCGAAUAUCCUUCGAGGCGCCGAGAAGGUUCCCGGUUCGAUCCCGGGCGUGACUA